GGCCGGUGUAGCUCAGUGGCAGAGCAGCCGAUUCGUAAUCGGCUUGUCGCCGGUUCGAGUCCGGCCUCCGGCUCCAA
rnacentral:tRNA from 1 species